rnacentral:rRNA from 1 species
GGGAAGUGCAAAGAACUUUGAAUGAGAGAGUUNCAGCUACGUGAAASUGCUCAGAGGCAAACGRGUGGGCCCUCGAAAUCCCGCUGCGGGGGGAUUCAGUCGGAAGGCGAUACAAUCGUGAGAGCCACCGACAACCAGCAAGUGUUGMCGUUCMGAGCUCGAUCGGUUUGCCACCCGACGCACUUCAUCCSGCACAGAGGACGCCGCAGCCGGUCGGGUAGCAGCAAGAGUCGGCCAUGAGGUUCGAAACCGGAAGGUGGCGGGGCUCGAACCGCGCUAGGUACCUCCUAAGCGCGGCGGCGUACCCCGUUGUUAGCCGUUCGAUCCGUGGCGCGACACCCGACCGAGGAGAAGGAGCUCCCAGCGAGCUCCAGCCGCGCACUCGCAGCAAGUUCGAGCGGUGCAGUUCGGAGCAGCAGAGGACGACACGGGCGGAACCACCCUCGCCUGGUGGCUCGCCUCGUAGUUGCUGCUUUAGCUCCGAGACACCGCCGCGAGCGCAGACGGCUGGCGGCGAGUAGGUCGGUCACCCACCCGACCCGUCUUGAAACACGGACCAAGGAGUCUAACAUGUGCGCGAGUCACGGGGUCUUGAACAGGCCCAGGGGCGCAAUGAAAGUGAAGGCUGGCUUUGCGGUCACGCCCAGUUGGGAUCCCCGGCACGAGUUGUCGGGGCGCACCAACGGYCCGUCCCGUCCGUUUCAACGGUGGAGCGGAGUCAGAGCGUACACGUUGGGACCCGAAAGAUGGUGACCUAUGCCUGGGCAGGACGAAGCCAGAGGAAACUCUGGUGGARGU